rnacentral:rRNA from 1 species
AUACGGAGGGGGUUAGCGUUGUUCGGAAUUACUGGGCGUAAAGCGCACGUAGGCGGAUUGAUUAGUUAGAGGUGAAAUCCCGGGGCUCAACCCUGGAACUGCCUUUAAUACUGUCAGUCUAGAGAUCGAGAGAGGUGAGUGGAAUUCCUAGUGUAGAGGUGAAAUUCGUAGAUAUUAGGAGGAACACCAGUGGCGAAGGCGGCUCACUGGCUCGAUACUGACGCUGAGGUGCGAAAGCGUGGGGAGCAAACAGGAUUAGAAACCCCGGUAGUCC